rnacentral:rRNA from 1 species
UACGUAGGGGGCAAGCGUUGUCCGGAAUCAUUGGGCGUAAAGAGCGCGUAGGCGGCCCUGUAAGUCCGCUGUGAAAGUCAAGGGCUCAACCCUUGAAUGCCGGUGGAUACUGCAGGGCUAGAGUCCGGAAGAGGCGAGUGGAAUUCCUGGUGUAGCGGUGAAAUGCGCAGAUAUCAGGAGGAACACCGAUGGCGAAGGCAGCUCGCUGGGACGGUACUGACGCUGAGGCGCGGAAGCGUGGGGAGCAAACAGG